rnacentral:lncRNA from 1 species
CUGCCUUCCUCCUUCGUCCUUCAUCUGGACUUCCUGAGGCUGCCUCCCCAAGGCCACUUGGCCAAGCAAGCAGCCACCCCCUUGUCCCUUUCUCACCCAGCCGUUGGCAGCAUCUGACAUGGUUCCGCUUCCUCCCUGAAACAGUGCUUUCUCUCAGAUUCCAGGACGACACACUCUCUUGGUGGAAGGGGACUUGUCAUCUCUCUCAUCUGCUCAGCCUCCCCUCCCCUCCCCUCUCUCCGCAGACCACCUGCUCUGGCCUCCUGGCUUCGAACACCAUCUCUGCUGAUGGCUUCUGAUGGCUCUCUCCCUUGGGGGGCCUUCCAGGAGCACUCCCCGGUCCAAGCCACGUCACCGUCAUCGCUGCCUCGGACGACGGAGCAGCCUGCCGACCAGCCUGCCCUCGGUGUCGCCACCAGAGCCAUCACUUACUUAAGGGAUUUAAAUGGCAACUCUAUGUCUCCCUUCCUUUCUCUUCUUCUUUUAACUUUUCAUCAUGGAAAUUUCCAGACAGGCACAGAGAGGGAGUAAGUAGCGGACCCUGCUGCCCCCACCAACCAUAUUAUAUAGAAUGACACGCUGUCCUGUGGCAUCUUUCCCCACAUCACCUUCCCCUCAUGCUGAAGGGAAUCGGCAUGGGUGCCUGGCUGGAUCACAUGGGACUCUUAAUCUUGAGUCGUGAGUUCAAGCCCCACAUUCGUUAGGUAUGGAGCCUACUUAGGAAAAGAAAAGGAAAAAGAAAAGGAAAAAGAAAAAGAAAAAGAAAAAGAAAAAGAAAAAGAAAAAAGUGAGCCCCAGACAGCAUUCCACUUCACCUGUAAAGACUUCAGUGUAACAAAAUAAUGUUUAAACCCGAAACCAGAUGACAUUAUUCCGCUGAGCACCCUCCACCUCCUUGCGGGCCGUGUGCUCCUGGCCGGUCCGGUCCCACUGUCUCUUUCACUGUCCCCUUGCCCUUCUGUUGUCCAUGCUCGCCAGCUUCUCCCUGUCCAGGGGCUUUGCGGUCCCUCCUCCCGCUGACUGGAUCCCCCAUUUCCCAGAUUUUUCAUGAACGUUUCCCUCCGGCCACGUGCAUCCUUGGUCCACAUUUGGAUGUUUUUUUUCCCGCUGCAGUGAGAAGCCACCGAGGGACCUAGGCGGCUGGGGGAGGGCGGUAAUCAUGAUCUGGGUUGUAUUUUUAAAUCAUCCUUCUGGCUGCUUUGGAGGAUGAGUUGUGGGUGGGGGUCAGGGAGCAGGAAGACCGUACUCUGAGGUAAUUAAAUGAGAUUAUAGCCAUAAGGCACUCAAAGUCUGGUAAAUAGUAAGUGCUCAAUCCCUGUGCUGCAUAGACAUUGGUCUCUCUUGUUUUGAAGCAAAGUUGUCGAUAUAA